rnacentral:rRNA from 1 species
GGGUUGUGAGGUUAAGCGACUAAGCGUACACGGUGGAUGCCCUGGCAGUCAGAGGCGAUGAAGGACGUGCUAAUCUGCGAUAAGCGUCGGUAAGGUGAUAUGAACCGUUAUAACCGGCGAUUUCCGAAUGGGGAAACCCAGUGUGAUUCGUCACACUAUCAUUAACUGAAUCCAUAGGUUAAUGAGGCGAACCGGGGGAACUGAAACAUCUAAGUACCCCGAGGAAAAGAAAUCAACCGAGAUUCCCCCAGUAGCGGCGAGCGAACGGGGAGCAGCCCAGAGCCUGAAUCAGUGUGUGUGUUAGUGGAAGCGUCUGGAAAGGCGCGCGAUACAGGGUGACAGCCCCGUACACAAAAAUGCACAUACUGUGAGCUCGAUGAGUAGGGCGGGACACGUGGUAUCCUGUCUGAAUAUGGGGGGACCAUCCUCCAAGGCUAAAUACUCCUGACUGACCGAUAGUGAACCAGUACCGUGAGGGAAAGGCGAAAAGAACCCCGGCGAGGGGAGUGAAAAAGAACCUGAAACCGUGUACGUACAAGCAGUGGGAGCACGCUUAGGCGUGUGACUGCGUACCUUUUGUAUAAUGGGUCAGCGACUUAUAUUCUGUAGCAAGGUUAACCGAAUAGGGGAGCCGAAGGGAAACCGAGUCUUAACUGGGCGUUAAGUUGCAGGGUAUAGACCCGAAACCCGGUGAUCUAGCCAUGGGCAGGUUGAAGGUUGGGUAACACUAACUGGAGGACCGAACCGACUAAUGUUGAAAAAUUAGCGGAUGACUUGUGGCUGGGGGUGAAAGGCCAAUCAAACCGGGAGAUAGCUGGUUCUCCCCGAAAGCUAUUUAGGUAGCGCCUCGUGAAUUCAUCUCCGGGGGUAGAGCACUGUUUCGGCAAGGGGGUCAUCCCGACUUACCAACCCGAUGCAAACUGCGAAUACCGGAGAAUGUUAUCACGGGAGACACACGGCGGGUGCUAACGUCCGUCGUGAAGAGGGAAACAACCCAGACCGCCAGCUAAGGUCCCAAAGUCAUGGUUAAGUGGGAAACGAUGUGGGAAGGCCCAGACAGCCAGGAUGUUGGCUUAGAAGCAGCCAUCAUUUAAAGAAAGCGUAAUAGCUCACUGGUCGAGUCGGCCUGCGCGGAAGAUGUAACGGGGCUAAACCAUGCACCGAAGCUGCGGCAGCGACGCUUAUGCGUUGUUGGGUAGGGGAGCGUUCUGUAAGCCUGUGAAGGUGUGCUGUGAGGCAUGCUGGAGGUAUCAGAAGUGCGAAUGCUGACAUAAGUAACGAUAAAGCGGGUGAAAAGCCCGCUCGCCGGAAGACCAAGGGUUCCUGUCCAACGUUAAUCGGGGCAGGGUGAGUCGACCCCUAAGGCGAGGCCGAAAGGCGUAGUCGAUGGGAAACAGGUUAAUAUUCCUGUACUUGGUGUUACUGCGAAGGGGGGACGGAGAAGGCUAUGUUGGCCGGGCGACGGUUGUCCCGGUUUAAGCGUGUAGGCUGGUUUUCCAGGCAAAUCCGGAAAAUCAAGGCUGAGGCGUGAUGACGAGGCACUACGGUGCUGAAGCAACAAAUGCCCUGCUUCCAGGAAAAGCCUCUAAGCAUCAGGUAACAUCAAAUCGUACCCCAAACCGACACAGGUGGUCAGGUAGAGAAUACCAAGGCGCUUGAGAGAACUCGGGUGAAGGAACUAGGCAAAAUGGUGCCGUAACUUCGGGAGAAGGCACGCUGAUAUGUAGGUGAAGUCCCUCGCGGAUGGAGCUGAAAUCAGUCGAAGAUACCAGCUGGCUGCAACUGUUUAUUAAAAACACAGCACUGUGCAAACACGAAAGUGGACGUAUACGGUGUGACGCCUGCCCGGUGCCGGAAGGUUAAUUGAUGGGGUCAGCGCAAGCGAAGCUCUUGAUCGAAGCCCCGGUAAACGGCGGCCGUAACUAUAACGGUCCUAAGGUAGCGAAAUUCCUUGUCGGGUAAGUUCCGACCUGCACGAAUGGCGUAAUGAUGGCCAGGCUGUCUCCACCCGAGACUCAGUGAAAUUGAACUCGCUGUGAAGAUGCAGUGUACCCGCGGCAAGACGGAAAGACCCCGUGAACCUUUACUAUAGCUUGACACUGAACAUUGAGCCUUGAUGUGUAGGAUAGGUGGGAGGCUUAGAAGUGUGGACGCCAGUCUGCAUGGAGCCGACCUUGAAAUACCACCCUUUAAUGUUUGAUGUUCUAACGUUGACCCGUAAUCCGGGUUGCGGACAGUGUCUGGUGGGUAGUUUGACUGGGGCGGUCUCCUCCUAAAGAGUAACGGAGGAGCACGAAGGUUGGCUAAUCCUGGUCGGACAUCAGGAGGUUAGUGCAAUGGCAUAAGCCAGCUUGACUGCGAGCGUGACGGCGCGAGCAGGUGCGAAAGCAGGUCAUAGUGAUCCGGUGGUUCUGAAUGGAAGGGCCAUCGCUCAACGGAUAAAAGGUACUCCGGGGAUAACAGGCUGAUACCGCCCAAGAGUUCAUAUCGACGGCGGUGUUUGGCACCUCGAUGUCGGCUCAUCACAUCCUGGGGCUGAAGUAGGUCCCAAGGGUAUGGCUGUUCGCCAUUUAAAGUGGUACGCGAGCUGGGUUUAGAACGUCGUGAGACAGUUCGGUCCCUAUCUGCCGUGGGCGCUGGAGAACUGAGGGGGGCUGCUCCUAGUACGAGAGGACCGGAGUGGACGCAUCACUGGUGUUCGGGUUGUCAUGCCAAUGGCACUGCCCGGUAGCUAAAUGCGGAAGAGAUAAGUGCUGAAAGCAUCUAAGCACGAAACUUGCCCCGAGAUGAGUUCUCCCUGACUCCUUGAGAGUCCUGAAGGAACGUUGAAGACGACGACGUUGAUAGGCCGGGUGUGUAAGCGCAGCGAUGCGUUGAGCUAACCGGUACUAAUGAACCGUGAGGCUUAACCUUACAACGCCGAAG